rnacentral:rRNA from 1 species
UACGUAGGGUGCAAGCGUUGUCCGGAAUUAUUGGGCGUAAAGAGCUCGUAGGCGGUUUGUCGCGUCUGCUGUGAAAUCCCGAGGCUCAACCUCGGGUCUGCAGUGGGUACGGGCAGACUAGAGUGUGGUAGGGGAGAUUGGAACUCCUGGUGUAGCGGUGGAAUGCGCAGAUAUCAGGAAGAACACCAAUGGCGAAGGCAGAUCUCUGGGCCAUUACUGACGCUGAGGAGCGAAAGCGUGGGGAGCGAACAGG